UACGUAGGGGGCAAGCGUUGUUCGGAAUUACUGGGCGUAAAGGGAGCGUAGGCGGAUUGGUAAGUUAGGAGUGAAAUCCAUAGGCUUAACCUGUGGGUUGCUUUUAAGACUGCCUUUCUUGAGUAUUGGAGAGGAUGAUGGAAUUCCAGGUGUAGCGGUGGAAUGCGUAGAUAUCUGGAAGAACACCAGUUGCGUAGGCGGUCAUCUGGCCAAAUACUGACGCUGAGGCUCGAAAGCUAGGGGAG
rnacentral:rRNA from 1 species